AUGCGCGGGACGGGCCCGCCCUGCGCGAUGACGUCAGCGCGCCUGCGCGAGCCAAGGGAGGAGUGGGAACUAAGGGCCGGGAGGCGCGGAGGCUCCGUAGGCCCCGCCUGACCCGGAGAUGGAGUUUCCGGACCUCGGCGCUCACUGUUCCGAGCCGAGCUGUCAACGUCUGGAUUUUCUGCCGCUUAAGUGCGACGCUUGCUCGGGUAUCUUCUGCGCAGACCAUGUGGCCUAUGCCCAGCAUCACUGUGGAUCUGCUUACCAAAAGGAUAUCCAGGUACCUGUAUGUCCACUCUGUAAUGUGCCUGUACCUGUGGCCAGAGGGGAACCUCCUGACCGCGCUGUCGGGGAGCACAUUGACCGAGACUGUCGCUCAGAUCCAGCACAACAAAAACGUAAGAUCUUCACCAAUAAGUGUGAACGCUCUGGCUGCCGGCAGCGGGAAAUGAUGAAACUGACCUGCGAUCGUUGUGGCCGAAACUUCUGCAUCAAGCACCGUCACCCACUGGACCAUGAUUGCUCUGGGGAGGCGCACUCAAACAGCCGCGCAGGACUUGCUACUGUCUCCAGAGCACAGGGUCUGGCUUCUGCAAGCACUGUUGUCAGCCCAAGUAGGACCUUGCCUUCAUCUACCUCUCCUAGCAGAACCACAACCCAGUCUCCGUCCUGGACAGCCCCUCCAGUAAUUGCUUUGCAGAAUGGCUUGAGUGAGGAUGAGGCUCUGCAACGUGCCCUGGAACUGUCCCUGGCAGAGAACAAACCCCAGGCCCCAAAGUACCUACUUUCUGUUCUCAGGAGGAAGAAGACCUAGCUUUAGCACAAGCACUAUCAGCCAGUGAGGCCGAAUACCGACGGCAGCAGGCCCAAAGCCGCAGCUUGAAGCUGUCCAACUGCAGCCUGUGCUAGGGCCUCAGGCUUGGGGAGAGAGGCUCAGCUGAGAAGGACCGUGGCCCUCACACCCUUAGCUUACACAGGGAGAGGAGGCUGGAAGCAGCCUGGAGUGAAGACACGGAGGACUGACAUGCAAGCCGCCUCCAGAGAGCAUAAGGAGAAGCAGCUUGCAGAGCUGAGCCUACAGAAGGCCCUGCAGCCUCUCCAGCUGUAUGGGAGAGAGCAGCUAGCAACUGUUCCCUGUUGGGCCCUGGGAGGAUGUUGACGAGGCUCAGCUAAGACCCCUGCAUUGUGUCAUCCUUCUUAUACUGGGGCUGCCCUCCUGUGUCGGGGGCAGGAAGGAGCCUGGAAAGAAUAAAGGAUCUUGGCAGUCAAGAAGACA